CUACGGGGUGCAGCAGUGGGGAAUAUUGCACAAUGGGCGCAAGCCUGAUGCAGCCAUGCCGCGUGUAUGAAGAAGGCCUUCGGGUUGUAAAGUACUUUCAGCGGGGAGGAAGGGAGUAAAGUUAAUACCUUUGCUCAUUGACGUUACCCGCAGAAGAAGCACCGGCUAACUCCGUGCCAGCAGCCGGCGGUAAUACGGAGGGUGCAAGCGUUAAUCGGAAUUACUGGGCGUAAAGCGCACGCAGGCGGUUUGUUAAGUCAGAUGUGAAAUCCCCGGGCUCAACCUGGGAACUGCAUCUGAUACUGGCAAGCUUGAGUCUCGUAGAGGGGGGUAGAAUUCCAGGUGUAGCGGUGAAAUGCGUAGAGAUCUGGAGGAAUACCGGUGGCGAAGGCGGCCCCCUGGACGAAGACUGACGCUCAGGUGCGAAGGCGUGGGGAGCAAACAGGAUUAGAUACCCUAGUAGUC
rnacentral:rRNA from 1 species